GAUGAACGCUGGCGGCGUGCCUAAUACAUGCAAGUCGAGCGAACAGACGAGGAGCUUGCUCCUCUGACGUUAGCGGCGGACGGGUGAGUAACACGUGGAUAACCUACCUAUAAGACUGGGAUAACUUCGGGAAACCGGAGCUAAUACCGGAUAAUAUAUUGAACCGCAUGGUUCAAUAGUGAAAGACGGUUUUGCUGUUACUUAUAGAUGGAUCCGCGCCGCAUUAGCUAGUUGGUAAGGUAACGGCUUACCAAGGCAACGAUGCGUAGCCGACCUGAGAGGGUGAUCGGCCACACUGGAACUGAGACACGGUCCAGACUCCUACGGGAGGCAGCAGUAGGGAAUCUUCCGCAAUGGGCGAAAGCCUGACGGAGCAACGCCGCGUGAGUGAUGAAGGUCUUCGGAUCGUAAAACUCUGUUAUUAGGGAAGAACAAAUGUGUAAGUAACUAUGCACGUCUUGACGGUACCUAAUCAGAAAGCCACGGCUAACUACGUG
rnacentral:rRNA from 1 species